CGACCGCCGCCGCGCCCUGCGCGCCGGCUAAGGCCAUACGGACAGCCGGGUCGAAUGCCGC
ncrna:unclassified sequences Streptococcus sRNA SpF59 (ldcC RNA)